rnacentral:rRNA from 1 species
GAUGAACGCUGGCGGCGUGCCUAAUACAUGCAAGUCGAGCGAACAGACGAGGAGCUUGCUCCUCAGACGUUAGCGGCGGACGGGUGAGUAACACGUGGAUAACCUACCUAUAAGACUGGGAUAACUUCGGGAAACCGGAGCUAAUACCGGAUAAUAUAUUGAACCUCAUGGUUCAAUAGUGAAAGACUGUUUUGCUGUCACUUAUAGAUGGAUCCGCGCCGCUUUAUCUAGUUGGUAAGGUAACGGCUUACCAAGGCAACGAUGCGUAGCCGACCUGAGAGGUUGAUCGGCCACACUGGAACUGAGACACGGUCCAGACUCCUACGGGAGGCAGAAGAAGGGAAUCUUCCGAAAUGGGCGAAAGCCGGACGGAGCAACGCCGCGUGGGUGAUGAAGGUCUUCGGAUCGUAAAACUCUGUGAUUAGGGAAGAACAAAUGUGUAAGUAACUAUGCACGUCUUGACGGUACCUAAUCAGAAAGCCACGGCUAACUACGUG